UAAUGCGCGGGAGACCGAGGUUCCGAGGGCCUGCCCGCAGCCCAGGGUCCUCCAGCCGUGCCGGGGGACUGAGGGCGGAGGAGGUGCUGUUCCAGCGGGCCACUCCCAACGGGUGCGCGCGCGCCCUCUUCCUCCCCGGCCCCCCACGGGUUGGCAUGGGACCAGCGCCGCUACCGAUGUCUUUGGCGAGUGAAGGGUCCACCUUGCCGAAGCCGGGCAGUCCUACCCCCAAGUUCCUGGAGCCCCAGCGUUAGCGGAUGAGUGUGCCUUGGGAUUCCUGCCGCUUUCAUUUCCUUGUCUGGGAUGAUGGGAGUCAUUUUGAUUUUGUGCCUUCGUGCUCCAGAUUACUGGCUGGACACCUGAGAUAUCGUCAGCAGUACCAGAUGCCUCAUCACCACCAACUCCAGCAGUCAGCUGCCCUCAGAGAUGGAAGAGAGGGCACGAGCAAGUGAGGUUCUGGUCCCCGCAGCACUCAAGAAUGGAACCAUGGGAACUAGCAUGCAGUGAGGAUGCUGGUGGCUACCUUCUGGCUCCCAGCUCUACGAUGGGUAACGUCAUUGUGCCAUUUUAUGUACGAAGAUGAAGGACCCUGACAACAAAACCUAAAACAAACCCUCACACUAGAGCAACAAAGAGGAAAGCUCUCGUUCUCCAGCAGUCGUGGGCGUGUACUGAGACUGCCCUUCCUUUUGUUUUCACGUGUGGCAGAAACUCAGGUUGGUCCCCAGGAGACAGGACCAAGGCAUCAAUAUCCUGAUGUGCCAGCCACACCUAGACGACCCAAAGACAGGCAAGUCUGGGAAAGUACACUUUGCGCGGUCCAGUUUAGCAGGGAAAACAGAUGGCUUAGCAAAGUGUCAGAAAACAAUUCAGACUCCAGAAAAAUUUAGCCUAGGGGCUUGCAAACCUGAUGUUAACCCCUUUACAAAACACGGAGAGGUCAAUCCAGGGCACAGGCCUCCAGAGGUAGAGCCAGGCUCUGUGCCAAAGCACCGUCCCACCUAACUCGCCCCUCUCAUCAGGCUA